rnacentral:rRNA from 1 species
ACAGGGAUUGCCUCAGUAACGGCGAGUGAAGCGGCAACAGCUCAAAUUUGAAAUCUGGCCCCCCGGGUCCGAGUUGUAAUUUGCAGAGGAUGCUUCGGGCGCGGCGUCGACCAAGUCCCCUGGAACGGGGCGCCAUAGAGGGUGAGAGCCCCGUCGGGUCGGCCGCCAAGCCUGUGUGAAGCUCCUUCGACGAGUCGAGUAGUUUGGGAAUGCUGCUCUAAACGGGAGGUAGACCCCUUCUAAAGCUAAAUAUUGGCCAGAGACCGAUAGCGCACAAGUAGAGUGAUCGAAAGAUGAAAAGCACUUUGAAAAGAGGGUUAAACAGUACGUGAAAUUGUUGAAAGGGAAGCGCUUGUGACCAGACGUGCGCCGGGUGUUCAGCGGGCGUUCUCGCCCGUGUACUCGCCCCGGCGCAGGCCAGCGUCGGUUCGGAUGGGGGGACAAAGGCCCCGGGAAUGUGGCUCCUCCGGGAGUGUUAUAGCCCGGGGCGUCAUGCCCCCGCCCGGACCGAGGUUCGCGCUCUGCAAGGACGCUGGCGUAAUGGUCCCCAGCGGCCCGUCUUGAAACACGGACCAAGGAGUCGAGGUUUUGCGCGAGUGUUUGGGUGUCAAACCCGCACGCGUAAUGAAAGUGAACGCAGGUGGGAGCUUCGGCGCACCACCGACCGAUCCUGAUGUUCUCGGAUGGAUUUGAGUAGGAGCGUAGGGCCUCGGACCCGAAAGAUGGUGAACUAUACGUGGAUAGGGUGAAGCCAGAGGAAACUCUGGUGGAGGCUCGCAGCGGUUCUGACGUGCAAAUCGAUCGUCAAAUCUGCGUAUGGGGGCGAAAGACUAAUCGAACCA